AAGCGAUUUAUUUGUGUAGCUCAUUAUAUAUGCAGAUUCCGAUGUUUACGUCAUUGUAUAUUCAUCCAGUAUAUUAUACUGUAACAUCUGAAUCUGCAUGUAUAAUGAGCUACACAAAUAAAUCAUAG